AUUCCAGCUCCAAUAGCGUAUAUUAAAGUUGUUGCAGUUAAAAAGCUCGUAGUUGGAUUUCUGGUGCAUUCCACUGGCCUAUUGGUUAACUCCAACUUGGCUCAUUUGGAAUACGCCAUCUUUAGGCAGACCCGUCGUGGCAUUAGGUUGUCGUGAUGGUUACGCCUAUCGUUUACUGUGAAGAAAUUAGGGUGUUCAAAGCAGGCUUAUGCCAUGAAUACGUUAGCAUGGAAUAAUGAGAUAGGAUUUCGGUACUAUUUUGUUGGUUUGUGUACGGAAAUAAUGAUUAACAGGAACAGUGUUGUGGGUAUUCGUAUUUCGUUGUCAGAGGUGAAAUUCUUGGACUUACGAAAGACGAACGACUGCGAAAGCAUUUACCAAGGAUGUUUUCAUCG
rnacentral:rRNA from 1 species